UGGGGAAUAUUGGACAAUGCGGGAAACCGUGAUCCAGCAAUGCCGCGUGAGUGAUGAAGGCCUUAGGGUUGUAAAGCUCUUUUACCCGGGAUGAUAAUGACAGUACCGGGAGAAUAAGCUCCGGCUAACUCCGUGCCAGCAGCCGCGGUAAUACGGAGGGAGCUAGCGUUGUUCGGAAUAACUGGGCGUAAAGCGCGCGUAGGCGGCUAUUCAAGUCAGGGGUGAAAUCCCGGGGCUCAACCCCGGAACUGCCCUUGAAACUAGGUAGCUAGAAUACUGGAGAGGUGAGUGGAAUUCCGAGUAUAGAGGUGAAAUUCGUAGAUAUUGGGAGGAAUACCGGUGGCGAAGGCGACCACCUGGUCGGGUACUGACACUGAGGCGCGAAAGCGUGGGGAGCAAACAGGAUUAGAUACCCCCGUAGUCC
rnacentral:rRNA from 1 species